CUUAAAUUUUGGUUUAUAUCAUUAUUUAAAAUAAUAUUAUAUGAGUAAAAGAAUUGAACUUUAUCCACAAAAAAGUACUGAGAAGGAAAGUCUUGCCAAUUUUAAAGAAUUUAUUUAUUAUACCUUUUGUAUCAGGGUUUAUUCAAUUUUGACCACUAUUGUCAAGUCCCGAAAUAAGGUGAUUUAUGUUAAUUAAAGAUGAUUGUUUCAUAACUCUCUUAAAGAUUAACAUCGGUGUAAAAAAUAUUUCGUACCUAUAUAUCUGGUCGGCAGAAGACUCCUUUAGGGUACUCCGGAAGGAAGAUUUUCUAGGGGACGAGCUCUAGAAAAAAUUAUAUCAAAUUAUUACCAGCGAUAUGAAUAGGCUUAAAAGUUGCCAGGGUGUAAUACCCAGGGUCGUUUAAAUAAUAAUUUAAAGUUGAUUAAUUGAAUCUAGCCGAUGCUUAUUAUUAACAUUGAGCAGUCAUAAUGAUAAAAUUAGUAUAUGUAUAAAAAUGCAAUAGAAUCUAUUCCAAAAAU
rnacentral:rRNA from 1 species